rnacentral:lncRNA from 1 species
CCGGUUUUUCAAGCACAAAGUGCCCAGACAAGCCACAACAGCCCACAGCACGUUCUCUUCACAGCCUCCCACACCUAUGCCUCGCUCCUUUCUCACCCCUGACUAGUUCCAGGAUCCCUGGUCCACAUUUGGAGGGUGCAGACCCAGGGUAGAAUGUUGUAGAAGAGGAAGAAGUAGUGGGAGCAGGAGAACACAGCAUCUGCACUUGUCCAGCCUUCGGAAGGAGCUGCCAGCCUGAAUGAGAGCUGAGAGCGAUCUGCAUGCUCACCGAGAUGACAUGGGGAGUUUGAGAGAAGACAUUCAAAUGAGAAUGUCCCAUAUGCGUUUAGUGCUGUGGUUCAAGAGUUGGACAAGACGUCAGGACUACCACGAUUGGAGACUCAUCAGUAGAGAUUUGACAUUCACAGGAUGGAUAACAGCCCCCCCCCCACAAAUCAAAGGAGUCCUGGCUAAGUGAGCUGAAGAAAAGGUUAUCUAUCAAGAAGAAAGCAUGAUUCCUCAGCCUUGGCAGCACAUUAGCAUCAUCUGGAGAACUUUAAAAACUGAUUUUUUUUUCCUUCAUUUGAUUUCUUUUCUAAUUGAUUUAACUUUGUAAGGGUGGAAUUAAAAAAAAAAAAAAACAGUAAUGCUUUCUUUUCCAUUUAAAGCUAUGCUCAACAAAGUCAUUACUAGACCUGCGGAAAAUUACCUCUCUCAUUUUAUUGAAUUUUCCUGGAGUGUUUGAACCUUAAGACAGCUUCCUUCCCUUGCAACUUCCUUAUAAUUUUCAUUUUGAAUUUUUUAUGGAGUCACAGUGAAAUGCUUCUUCAGUAUUUCUAUACUGAAUCAACACUGAUUCCCUAUUCAAAUGAUGUUCCCAUUGAGAAAGACACACUAAUUUCAAGAUCUAUACAGCUAAACAAAGUCUCAAGUUCAAGUUUCCCACCACUUUCAACAGACUGUGGAAAAUAAAAAUACUAAUUAAAAUACA